UGAAGGCGGGCUGGAACCUCUCGGGGUUACAGCCUUGCUGAAUUAUUCACCCUUGUCUUUUGCGUACUUCUUGUUUCCUUGGUGGGUUCGCCCACCACUAGGACAAACAUAAACCUUUUGUAAUUGCAAUCAGCGUCAGUAACAAAUUAAUAAUUACAACUUUCAACAACGGAUCUCUUGGUUCUGGCAUCGAUGAAGAACGCAGCGAAAUGCGAUAAGUAGUGUGAAUUGCAGAAUUCAGUGAAUCAUCGAAUCUUUGAACGCACAUUGCGCCCUUUGGUAUUCCAAAGGGCAUGCCUGUUCGAGCGUCAUUUGUACCCUCAAGCUUUGCUUGGUGUUGGGCGUCUUGUCUCUAGCUUUGCUGGAGACUCGCCUUAAAGUAAUUGGCAGCCGGCCUACUGGUUUCGGAGCGCAGCACAAGUCGCACUCUCUAUCAGCAAAGGUCUAGCAUCCAUUAAGCCUUUUUUUCAACUUUUGACCUCGGAUCAGGUAGGGAUACCCGCUGAACUUAAGCAUAUCAAUAAGCGGAGGAA
rnacentral:rRNA from 1 species